GACGAACGCUGGCGGCGUGCCUAAUACAUGCAAGUCGAGCGGACUGAUGGAGAGCUUGCUCUCUUGAGGUCAGCGGCGGACGGGUGAGUAACACGUGGGUAACCUGCCUGAUCGUCUGGGAUAACGCUUGGAAACGAGUGCUAAUACCGGAUAAUCUCUUGGAUCGCAUGGUUCGAGAGUAAAAGGAGCUUUUGCUCCACGAUCAGAUGGACCCGCGGCGCAUUAGCUAGUUGGUGAGGUAACGGCUCACCAAGGCGACGAUGCGUAGCCGACCUGAGAGGGUGACCGGCCACACUGGGACUGAGACACGGCCCAGACUCCUACGGGUGGCAG
rnacentral:rRNA from 1 species